UCUGCUACCAGUUAAACUGCAACUUGUGAAAGAGUUAUGAAAAAGGAGAACAUUAUAAAUACAUAUUUAAAAAAAUAAAUAAAAUAAAAACACUAGCGUCUGACUAAUACUGGAUUCAUGAGGCCGAUAUUGAUAUUAAAGUUAAAGCCAUUUGAUGAUGUAUCGGACAAUAUAAUUUGAAUUAUUUCUGAUAAAAAAAAUUAUGAAUACCUUAAAGAAAUAGUUUUUAAUUUGGAUAUACGCUUAUUUGCUUGAGUUAGAUG